UCCUCCGUGGCGCAACAGGAUAGCGCGUCUGACUGUUACGACAGUAGCGAUCAGGAGGUUGACAGUUCGAGCCUGUCCGGGGGAG